rnacentral:rRNA from 1 species
GAUGAACGCUGGCGGCGUGCUUAACACAUGCAAGUCGAACGAAGCACUUUAAUCGAUUUCUUCGGAUUGAAAUUUUAGUGACUGAGUGGCGGACGGGUGAGUAACGCGUGGGUAACCUGCCUCACACAGGGGGAUAACAGUUGGAAACGGCUGCUAAUACCGCAUAAGCGCACAGUACCGCAUGGUACAGUGUGAAAAAACUCCGGUGGUGUGAGAUGGACCCGCGUCUGAUUAGCUAGUUGGCAGGGCAACGGCCUACCAAGGCGACGAUCAGUAGCCGGCCUGAGAGGGUGAACGGGCCACAUUGGGACUGAGACACGGCCCAAACGUCCUACGGGAGGCAGCAGUGGGGAAUAUUGCACAAUGGGGGAAACCCUGAUGCAGCGACGCCGCGUGAGUGAUGACGG